UACGUAGGUGGCAAGCGUUGUCCGGAAUUAUUGGGCGUAAAGCGCACGUAGGCGGCUUUGCAAGUCGGAUGUGAAAUCCCUCGGCUCAACCAAGGAAGUGCAUCCGAAACUGCAGAGCUUGAGUACCAAAGAGGAUCGCGGAAUUCCCGGUGUAGAGGUGAAAUUCGUAGAUAUCGGGAGGAACACCAGUGGCGAAGGCGGCGAUCUGGGUGGAUACUGACGCUGAGGUGCGAAAGCGUGGGGAGCAAACAGG
rnacentral:rRNA from 1 species